rnacentral:rRNA from 1 species
GAUGAACGCUGGCGGCGUGCCUAAUACAUGCAAGUCGAGCGAACAGACGAGGAGCUUGCUCCUCUGAUGUUAGCGGCGGACGGGUGAGUAACACGUGGAUAACCUACCUAUAAGACUGGGAUAACUUCGGGAAACCGGGGCUAAUACCGGAUAACAUGUUGAACCGCAUGGUUCAACAGUGAAAGACGGUCUUGCUGUCACUUAUAGAUGGAUCCGCGCCGCAUUAGCUAGUUGGUAAGGUAACGGCUUACCAAGGCAACGAUGCGUAGCCGACCUGAGAGGGUGAUCGGCCACACUGGAACUGAGACACGGUCCAGACUCCUACGGGAGGCAGCAGUAGGGAAUCUUCCGCAAUGGGCGAAAGCCUGACGGAGCAACGCCGCGUGAGUGAAGAAGGUCUUCGGAUCGUAAAACUCUGUUAUUAGGGAAGAACAAAUGUGUAAGUAACUAUGCACGUCUUGACGGUACCUAAUCAGAAAGCCACGGCUAACUACGUG